rnacentral:rRNA from 1 species
UACGAGAGGUGCAAACGUUAUUCGGAUUUAUUGGGUGUAAAGGGUGCGUAGACGGUUCAUUAAGUCUGUUGUUAAAUUUCUUGGCCUAACCAAGAGCUUGCAAUGGAAACUGAUGGGCUUGAGUGUGGAAGAGAGAAGUGGAAUUCUCGGAGUAGCGGUAAAAUGCGUAGAUCUCGAGAGGAACACCGAUGGCGAAGGCAGCUUCUUGGUCCACUACUGACGUUGAGGCACGAAAGCGUGGGGAGCAAACAGG